AUGGACCAGGCUUUUUAUCCACUGUAUGCUCAGGGUGGUAAUGAUGGACGCCCUUGUGCAUACCAGCCCGGGAGCAUCCAGCUCCAUGCUCCAUUUCCCCAGGUCCAGAAUCAGCACAACCAGCCUGUGGUCAUUGUUCAACCCUCUGCGAACAUGAGGCAAAAUCCACCGGCCGAGCCUGUGCCGGAUUACAUGUGUUACUCCAGAUUUACCACACUGUGCUGCUGUAUCUGCCUGGGACUUUGUGCUCUUUAUUACUCUAAAGAAGUCAGGUGCUAUGGAAACUCCUCCAAUGCAGAAUGGAAAACCACAAAGCUGAGGACUCGCUCUGCUAAUGCUGCUGGACAGAGAAGAGAAGCCGCGAGAAACUCUCAAACUGCACUCAUCCUGAACCAUAUCUCUGUUGUUGUGGGAAUCAUCCUGAUUGGAGUAUAUCUCUUCAACGAAUUUUACCUAUCAUAUAUAUAAUGGAUCAUUAUCAAUAUACACUGAAAAAAAAAUUUCUCCAUACAUCCAAUUAAAAGAAUUUAAGGGUAAUAAUUCACAUCUAUAUUUACUAUACUUAUAUACCUUGAGCCAGUGAAAAAUAAAUAAAUUGCCCUUAAAGCA
ensembl:lncRNA